UGGGGAAUAUUGCGCAAUGGGGGAAACCCUGACGCAGCGACGCCGUGUGAGGGAAGAAGGCUUUCGGGUCGUAAACCUCUGUCAGGAAGGAAGAACCUCUCAAGGCUGAACAAGCCUUGGGACUGACGGUACUUCCAGAGGAAGCACCGGCUAACUCCGUGCCAGCAGCCGCGGUAAUACGGAGGGUGCAAGCGUUAUCCGGAUUUACUGGGUUUAAAGGGUGCGUAGGCGGGCAUGUAAGUCAGUGGUGAAAUACCGGAGCUUAACUUCGGAACUGCCAUUGAUACUAUAUGUCUUGAAUAUUGUGGAGGUAAGCGGAAUAUGUCAUGUAGCGGUGAAAUGCAUAGAUAUGACAUAGAACACCGAUUGCGGAGGCAGCUUGCUACGCAAAUAUUGACGCUGAGGCACGAAAGCGUGGGGAUCAAACA
rnacentral:rRNA from 1 species